AUGGCUGAUAACAUACGGGAAAUCUUGACAGAUGUGUCAAUUUAUGGUAAAGGACUUGAUAUUGAAGCGAGAUAUAAGUAUAUAUCCAAACUGCAGCUUGACAAAGAUCUAACAACUCUCCCAGACCCAUACAAAUGUCCUGAGGCUGAUGAGAAAUAGAGAUGUGAUUUGAUCAACUGGCCUAGCAUAUAUUUCGGACAACAGUAAAUACGGAUAUGAUUUAAAACCAGCCGUCUUCAAUACCACAUCCGAGAGACAGAAUUGCAAGAGCCUUGAGACUUAUAGAUUGGGAAAACAUGUAGUUAUGUAGCUGAUCGAUAGACGUACAUGAAGUCUUUCACAGAUGUUUGUCCGAUGUGGAAUCAGCAUUUCAAAGAGCAGGUAGAUCCAAGCCCUGUGAUAGAAAUGCUGCACCUUGGUCUAGAUUUCCUGGCAUGUGAACAACAACUUGGAUCCACUACCAUGUAUACAACAGUUGGAUUCCCUGCCAUUCAAACAGCAUUUGGAUUCCCCUGCCAUGUGAACAACAGUUGAGAUCUCCUGCCAAGUAAAGAACAGUUGGAUUUCCCUACCAUGUGAACCACAGUUGAGAUCCCCUACCAUGUGAACAACAGUUGAGAUACCCUACCAUGUGAACCACAGUUGAGAUCCCCUACCAUGUGAACAACAGUUGAGAUCCCCUACCAUGUGAACAACAGUUGAGAUACCCUACCAUGUGAACAACAGUUGAGAUCCCCCCCGGCCAUGUGAACAACAGU